AGACCGAUAGCGAACAAGUACUGUGAAGGAAAGAUGAAAAGCACUUUGAAAAGAGAGUGAAACAGCACGUGAAAUUGUUGAAAGGGAAGGGUAUUGCGCCCGACAUGGAGCGUGCGCACCGCUGCCCCUCGUGGGCGGCGCUCUGGGCGUGCUCUGGGCCAGCAUCGGUUUUUGCCGCGGGAGAAGGGCGGCGGGCAUGUAGCUCUUCGGAGUGUUAUAGCCUGCCGCCGGCGCCGCGAGCGGGGACCGAGGACUGCGACUUUUGUCUCGGAUGCUGGCACAACGGCGCAACACCGCCCGUCUUGAAACACGGACCAAG
rnacentral:rRNA from 1 species